rnacentral:lncRNA from 10 species
GUUAUUAUCCCCAUAUUAUAGAUGACAAAACUGAGACACAAAAGAUGAAUCAGCUUGGCAGUGUUCACAGAGCCAGCGUGUGGAAAAGCCAGAAUCCAGACCCAGACCCGAACUGCAGCGUCCCGGCUCUUACCCCUAACCAGCCAGUGCCUCUCAGCUUAGUGCUCUUCCACCCGGCUUUUCUUUCUAAAAAUGACUCCACACCCACAGAAGGAGAGGGGGAUGAAGAAAUCUGCCAGGAGGGUGCCUCCCGCCAGUAUCUGAUGAAGCUCUCCUUUGGAGUAAUAUGUUGUCUGUGCCAAGGAUGGAAUGAAAACAGAGUAUGAUGGCUCAUCUUGACUUUUUCCUUACUUACAAAUGGAGAGCCCCAAAGUCCAAAUCCUUGGACCAGCUAUCCCCCAACUUCCUCCUUAGGGGCAGAAGGUGAGAGCAAGCAAACAUUUGAGUUGAUUCAUGAAACUUUACUGGGCAAAGAAUAGAAAAUGUUGGUUUGGACCCUCCUUCACUAUCUGGGGCCCCUCCACAUGAGCUCCUUCACCGAUCCGUCUCCUUCAGCUGCUUCCCCACUGUGACUCUACCAGCCCCUCUCUAUCCCCCCUUCAAGCCUGAGCACUUUCCCUGCACCCCCACCUGGAGUUGCCCAAUUCACAUGCUCUUGUUUAUUCACUGCUCUUCUGAGGAAGGGUGGGGUUGGUGUCAGGGUGACUUACUAGGUUUGACAGGGGCUUGGUGGCCUCAUGGGGAGCCCCUCAGACGCUGGCUUCACAUGGCCCCUCCUGCUGGCUUCACAUGGACCCAACGGCCCUCCCUGGAGCCCACCUCACAGUGGAUGGGACUGUACCUACUGGGCACUGGUGGGGCCCAGCAUUCAGCUGACGGCUGAAAAAACCUCCGGUCUACAUUGGGCUAAAAGGGAGGAAGAA